rnacentral:rRNA from 1 species
AGCGAAAUGCGAUAAGUAGUGUGAAUUGCAGAAUUCAGUGAAUCAUCGAAUCUUUGAACGCACAUUGCGCCCUUUGGUAUUCCUUAGGGCAUGCCUGUUCGAGCGUCAUCUAACCCCUCAAGCACCGCUUGAUGUUGGGCGCUUGUCCCGCCUCCGCGCGUGGACUCGCCUCGAAGACAUUGGCGGCCUGUGUAUUGGCUAUGAGCGCAGCAGAUUUGCGCCUCAGACCCUCUUGCGCGGGCGUCCACCAAGUGCACCCACCCAUUUUGACCUCGGAUCAGAGUAGGGAUACCCGCUGAACUUAAGCAUAUCAAUAAGCGGAGGAAAAGAAAACAACAGGGAUUGCCUCAGUAACGGCGAGUGAAGCGGCAACAGCUCAAAUUUGAAAUCUGGCUCCCUUGGGUGCCCGAGUUGUAAUUUGCAGAGGGUGCUUUGGCGUCGGCAGCGGCCUAAGUUCCUUGGAACAGGGCGUCAUAGAGGGUGAGAACCCCGUACGUGGCCGCCCGCCUUCGCCGUGUAAAGCCCCUUCGACGAGUCGAGUUGUUUGGGAAUGCAGCUCUAAAUGGGAGGUAAAUUCCUUCUAAAGCUAAAUACUGGCCAGAGACCGAUAGCGCACAAGUAGAGUGAUCGAAAGAUGAAAAGCACUUUGGAAAGAGAGUCAAACAGCACGUGAAAUUGUUGAAAGGGAAGCGCUUGCAGCCAGACUUGCCUGCGGUUGUUCUUCUUCCGCGGGCAGGCCAGCAUCAGUCUGGGCGGUCGGAUAAAGGCCUCGGGAAUGUAGCUCUCCUUCCGGGGAGGUGUUAUAGCCCGGGGCGCCAUGCGGCCAGCCAGGACUGAGGUCCGCGCAUCUGCUAGGAUGGCUGGCGUAAUGGCUGUAAGCGGCCCGUCUUGAAACACGGACC